CCUACGGGUGGCUGCAGUGGGGAAUAUUGGACAAUGGGGCGAACCCUGAUCCAGCCAUGCCGCGUGUGUGAAGAAGGCCCUCGGGUUGUAAAGCACUUUCAGUGAGGAAGAACGCCUGGUGGUUAAUACCCAUCAGGAAAGACAUCACUCACAGAAGAAGCACCGGCUAACUCCGUGCCAGCAGCCGCGGUAAUACGGAGGGUGCGAGCGUUAAUCGGAAUUACUGGGCGUAAAGCGCGCGUAGGUGGCUUGAUAAGCCGGUUGUGAAAGCCCCGGGCUCAACCUGGGAACGGCAUCCGGAACUGUCAAGCUAGAGUGCAGGAGAGGAAGGUAGAAUUCCCGGUGUAGCGGUGAAAUGCGUAGAGAUCGGGAGGAAUACCAGUGGCGAAGGCGACCUUCUGGACUGACACUGACACUGAGGUGCGAAAGCGUGGGUAGCAAACAGGAUUAGAUACCCUAGUAGUC
rnacentral:rRNA from 1 species